rnacentral:rRNA from 1 species
AUUGAACGCUGGCGGCAUGCCUUACACAUGCAAGUCGAACGGCAGCACGGGAGUAAUCCUGGUGGCGAGUGGCGAACGGGUGAGUAAUAUAUCGGAACGUGCCCAGUCGUGGGGGAUAACGCAGCGAAAGCUGUGCUAAUACCGCAUACGAUCUAUGGAUGAAAGCGGGGGAUCGCAAGACCUCGCGCGAUUGGAGCGGCCGAUAUCAGAUUAGCUAGUUGGUGGGGUAAAGGCCCACCAAGGCGACGAUCUGUAGCUGGUCUGAGAGGACGACCAGCCACACUGGAACUGAGACACGGUCCAGACUCCUACGGGAGGCAGCAGUGGGGAAUUUUGGACAAUGGGCGCAAGCCUGAUCCAGCAAUGCCGCGUGCAGGAUGAAGGCCU